UACGUAGGCAGCAAGCGUUGUUCGGAAUUACUGGGCGUAAAGAGUGUGUAGGCGGUGUUCUAAGUUUGUCGUGAAAUCUCCCGGCUUAACUGGGAGGGUGCGGCGAAAACUGGAAUGCUAGAGGAUGGGAGAGGUAAGCGGAAUUCCUGGUGUAGCGGUGAAAUGCGUAGAUAUCAGGAGGAACACCGGUGGCGAAGGCGGGUCUCUGGGCCGGUACUGACGCUAAGGAGCGAAAGCGUGGGGAGCGAACAGG
rnacentral:rRNA from 1 species